AACCCAAAUGCAAACAACACCCACCAAAACCCUUCACCAUGUCCAAAAUGGGAGGCGCGCAUCUGAGUUACCCAGGGGCAAGAGAAAUCCUUAAGAUGUCAGGCAGCCCUUUGGGAUGUUGACAUUCCGAGUGAUUAUUGCGCCCAGUGAAUGCCCCGAUUAGCAGAUUUAGACUACGAAGACAGACUGCAAGAGAUGACAAGCACCACAAGAAACGGUAAUUUUAAUUUUUAA